GAUUAUGGCUCAGGAUGAACGCUGGCGGCGUGCCUAAUACAUGCAAGUCGAACGAGGGUGCUUGCACCCUAGUGGCGAACGGGUGAGUAACACGUAGGUAACCUGCCUCACAGUUGGGAUACCCAGAGGAAACUUUGGCUAAUACCGGAUAAUUGGUUGGAAGGCAUCUUCCGACUCUAAAAGGGGCCUUUAAAGCCUCGCUGAGAGAUGGACCUGCGGCGCAUUAGCUAGUUGGUGAGAUAACAGCCCACCAAGGCGAGGAUGCGUAGCCGACCUGAGAGGGUGAACGGCCACACUGGAACUGAGACACGGUCCAGACUCCUACGGGAGGCAGCAGUAGGGAGUUUUCGGCAAUGGGGGAAACCCUGACCGAGCAACGCCGCGUGAGUGAUGAAGGUCUUCGGAUUGUAAAGCUCUGUUGUAGGGGAAGAACGAUAUGAUGAGGAAAUGCUUCAUAUUUGACGGUACCUUAUUAGAAAGCCACGGCUAACUACGUGCCAGCCGCCGC
rnacentral:rRNA from 1 species